GUGGAUGUAGCUCAGUUGGUAGAGCCCCGGAUUGUGAUUCCGGUUGUCGUGGGUUCGAGCCCCAUCAUUCACCCCA
rnacentral:tRNA from 61 species